rnacentral:rRNA from 1 species
UCCACGCAGUAAACGUUGUACACUAGGUGUAGCGGGUAUUGACCCCUGCUGUGCCGGAGCUAACGCAUUAAGUGUACCGCCUGGGGAGUACGGUCGCAAGACUAAAACUCAAAGAAAUUGACGGGGGCCCGCACAAGCGGUGGAGCAUGCGGUUUAAUUCGAUGAUACGCGAGGAACCUUACCUGGGCUUAAAUGCAGAGUGACAGUCCCGGAAACGGGAUCUUCUUCGGACA